rnacentral:rRNA from 1 species
AGGGGUAUAUUGGACAACGGGGGGAACCCUGAUCCAGCCAUGCUGCGUGUGUGAAGAAGGCCUUAUGGUUGUAAAGCACUUUAAGUCGGGAGGAAGGGCAGUAAGCGAAUACUUUGCUGUUUCGACGUUACCGACAGAAUAAGCACCGGCUAACUCUGUGCCAGCAGCCGCUGUAAUACAGAGGGUGCAAGCGUGAAUCGGAAUUACUGGGCGUAAAGCGCGCGUAGGUGGUACGUUAAGUAGAAUGUGAAAGCCCCGGGCUCAACCUGGGAACUGCAUCCAAAACUGGAGAGCUAGAGUAGGGCAGAGGAUGGUGGAAUUUCCUGUGUAGCGGUGAAAUGCGUAGAAAUCUGGAGAAAUACCGAUGGCGAAAGCAGCCAUCUGGCCUAACACAGGCGCUAAGGUACGAAAGCAUGGGGAGCAAACAGG